UUUUCCUCUUUUAACCAGACAUCUGUAUGUAAGUGACAAAAAAAAAAACAAAACCCAAAAAACAAAACCCAAACUCACCACAACAAAACCCCCCACAAAACCAGGGCUCCAGUCCCGGCCCAGCAAAGGCGUGUCAUAGGCGCAUGGGUUGAUUUAAGCGAAAGCCACCCGACCGGUCCGUCCCGUAAUCCGAGCCCUGAGUCAGAGGACCAGGCGCCCGCUAGGCAAGCGAGCGCGGCUGGCUUCGCACGCGCGUGGGUCUGACAUGCCAUCGAACGACACAAUUAGCCGCUGACACCAGGUGCUGCCCGCUUCCUGCCACGUUACACGUCUCGCAUUUCAUGUAAUGGUGCUUGCGAAGCGCUCCCCCGUUUCCGUUAGCCAUCCCUGCCCUCUCCACUCCCCCAUGCGUCCGUGCGGGUACAGGGGGGACCCCGGGAGCCCGCGGCUGGGCUGGCAAACGCCAGGCCACUAAGCGCCGCGGCCGCGCCCCGGUGGUGGCCCGGCGGCUUACAGCCUGCCUUUAGGCAUAACGUAUUCCAGAUGCUGUCGACGAAGCCCAUCGGGGCUGUGACUUCUCUUUUGUUUAUGUUUAAAGAAGGGGCAAAGCCUCCCCGAAGAAGAAGCCCCAGCAACUUCAGCGCUGCGGGUGUCCCUUGGCUCCUGCUGCGUCCGGGGCACGCAAGGAUUUUGGAGAGGCAGAGCCUCGGGUUUCCCCGCUUGGACGUAGCUGCACGCUUCCUGGGCUGCUUUGUGCAUUCACGACCCCACUCGUCCUCAUCCCCGCGAUAAACACUACCUGCUCCAUUGUUAUGAUUUUUGUUUCGUCCUGCAGUAAUUAUCCUUUUAUAUUUACAUAAAGGGGCUGCCCUCCGAGUGGGCAGAAAUGCUGACGAAGGGAGGGUUUCUGUGCGUUCUGCCCGGAUUGCAUUAGCUGCUAAUUACCCGGGAGUGCCCCGGGUGCCUCUGGUCUUCCCAACUAAAGCGCGCGGUGUAAUUUACAUUUACAUUGUGUUCUAUGACAUGCGGGUGGUGACACAGCCAAAUGUAUUUUGACAUUAUGUUUUAAUUGUUCCCCCCCUCGCCAGUGGUACCUGCGGGGAGGGGAGCAGCAGGUGCGGCAAGGCCCCCUGGGAUCGUGGAUUCAGGCCCUCACCUGCCAUCUUACUCCUGUUGCCACUGCGCGCAUCAUUUGGCUCCCUGAGUAAUUACCAGCCUCCUUUCCAUCCAUCCACGGCGGUGAUUUCAGUUUCUGGUGAGAAGUCAGUCCUGUUUGCUCAAGGCUAGUGAGGUGAUUUACAUUCAUUUCUCCAGCAACUCUCUGAACGGAGCACGGUGUUCUCAUUUCACCCAAGGGGAAAGUGGUACUCAGCGUUAGGAUCCCAAACCACUCAAGAUCAUCUCCUUAGAGAGCGGGUGGGAGGCCUGAGGGUGAGGCUCUUACACAUUUGUGCUCACCUCCACACCCGAGGAUUUGGGAAUGCAAACUUGAAAAGCAAAGCGUCAGACGGAUGGUCGUUGGGGGGUGGGGGGUGGGUAUUCACGUGCGCGGUACAGAUGUGUCUUCGCUAAUAUCAUUUGAAGGAACUGGUCCUCACCUAUACCUCACACAGUGCGUGGGAAGUAUUCCCACUCUGUCCUAGAGCGUCACUAGGUGGGUUCAGGCAGGGCAGGCCAUCUGGAUUAGAAACUCCCAAGUGGUAUUUUGUCUGACAAAGUAUGUCCAGUUUUCAAAGGGGUUGUUAUUCCACAGGCUGGAUCAUCCAAGGGCAGUGGUCUGAACUGGCUAUUUUAUUGGGUACUCCUGAGUCCUGUGAACUCUAUGACAUAUUCUCAGAGACACGCUCUCAGGGAUCAAUAAGAGAUAGCACCUGUUUAGGGGGAUAACUUCCCCUCGGAAGCACAGCUAGGUCUCCACUGCCCCAAGCAGUCAGCCGCACUCAAGGGAGCAUUUGACAAGGAUCUGAGCAAAAUCUCAGAUCGAUUCUCCAAAGUUGGUGUGGUUCAGUAAAAAGGAUGGGCUUUUUCAUAGUGGUUUUUGUUUUUGUUUUUGUUUUUUCUUCCUGUCGUCUUGACACGAAGCUGCCAUAUUUUGAGCAAACUCACGAGCUGAGGGUUGUAGUGGAUGGACACCCAUGGAUUUGAAAGAAAUCUGCCUUUCACCAGCUCCAAGGGUAUAGGCAAGUUAUUAACUUCAGUGAGGCUUAGUUUUCUCUUCUGGAAAGGGGAGAUGAUAAAUAUCUACCUUUUGGAAGUAUGAGGACCAGAUCAAAUGGACAUCUACUCAUCUCUGGUACAGAACAGUGACUCAAGGUGGGGAACCUGCCUCUUCUCUUUCUUCUUUUUCCUGUUCUUUUUCCUUUUUUACCUGUUCGUCAUCUCAGAUUUUACCACCACAUUGCGAAGAAAAUGGAAACCCUCUGCUUUCUGCCUUGCUUGCACCCCUGACAUUUCACUGGGCAUCAACUACUGUCUAUUCUGCCUUUGUAGUGUCACUAAUGCCCAAGACAUCCCCACGGUCUACGUCAUUUCUCAUUUCUGGGUCCCGUCUCUUGACCUUCCAGCCAUCUGUCCUAAUGCCGCAAGAGUCAUCCUUCUGAAAUUCAGGCCGAGCCAUGUCAGCCCAUGUUAUAUCUUCAACACGAAGUCACUUCAAUCCUCAAAAAAGGAAGAAGGCUGUUUUUUAAUUAAAGUAUAGUUAAUACACAACAUUACGUUGGUUUCAGGUGUACAAUGUAGCGAUUGGACAAGUCUGUACAAGGCUGUGGGCUCACCGCAAGAAGCCAGUUUUUUGUUGUUGUUUUGACUGAUUUUUACUCAAGUGUAUUUGACCAUGGAACAAGGAUUGACAUUUCAUGGGACACUAUGGUUACAAGGACAGCAAAUUGGGAAUCAUUCUUUAAAAAGCGCUAUAAAGCCUCUCCUGGCUUUGCAGAAGCAUUGCUCCAUGUUCCAUUAUUGUUCAGUCAAGAGGAGCAGGUGCCCAGAUCACUUGUCCACAGGUUCCUUUUCAGGCUAACCUUGAGCACGUAUUCCAUGCCAGGCACCGUGUGAAGCAUUUUGCAGGCACAGACUCACUGAAUCUUCCCCCAGACACUGUUUGGAAAUAAUGAUUAUUUUCUAGUGUGGAAAAGAGAUUAGAUACCUCUCCUAAGUUAUGUCUUUGAAAGGGUCGGGCCGGGGUAUAAACAGAAAUUGGGUUGAUGUCAUUUUCAAGCAGGCAGACUUAUUUUGGUGUUUUGUUUACACCCAGGGCCUGUUUUAAAAGUUUGGCACACACCAUGGCGUUUGCCAACCCGAAUGCCUUCCGAGGUACAUCUGCCCUGGUGUCACCAGGGGAGUGCCUCUGCCUUUCAUCGUAUGUGGGGUUUGAGCUCACAAACUGUGAGAUCAUGACCGGAGCCAAAGUCAGACGCUUAACAGAGCGAGCCACCUAGCUGCCCCGUUGUCUGCUUUAGCUUAAUAGCAAGAUGUUGGGGUUGCAGUUCUGAAUUUGGUAAGAAAUAAAGUGAAAACCCAUGGCCUACAGGUUGGGGGAAGAAGCCAAAACCUAUUGGUGUGUGAGAACAGCUUGUUCAGGACAAUACAGAACUCCACUCCAUCCUGCUGCUUGGUGUCUCGGCUGUCCCCAUCCCAGGGUACACACUGAGGGCCUCUCUCCUAGACACAGGACUGCUCAUCAUAGACCUCUCUUGUUUCUCUCUGACCAGGCUGAAAGUCGUGAGUUGUGUGAUCUCCAGAUCUAUACAAUGGGCUGCUCCAGUGACCCUGGCCUCCUCACUCUUUGCUAGGCCCUCUUGCCCUGGACCCUUGCCUUCAGCUGCUUCUUGUGCUUCUGCUCGUGCCUCUGAAAUGCACCCCCCACCUCCCUCAAAUAAGGCUCAAGUCUGGCCUUCCCUGUCAGGCCUAUCCUAGCUGUAUAAACACCACGCACUGCCUUCCAGCUUCCUUACUACCGCCACAAUGCUCUGUCUCCCAUUCUUGACCUUACCCGUUGUUCAUUCCAAAGCACUUAUUAAUUAUUUAGCCUAAUUAAUUCAUUACUUAUUAACUGUUUAGCCUAAUUUACCUGAGAAUAUGUUAUUUUAAGAGCAGUUUUGAAUAUGAAAUGUACGGACGAUAGAGUUCCCAUAUAGCUCCUUUCCCUCCCUCACUUUCCCUAUUAGUAAUGUCUUGCACUAGUGCGGUAUAUUUGUUAUAAUUGAUGAGUCAACGUCGAUACAUUAUUAUUAACUGAUUUCAAUGUUAUUGACUCAUUGACGUUAACUAAUAUCAACUAAUUAAUGUGAUUAACUAAUGUUGGUUAUUAACUAAUUAUUAUUAACUAAUGUUCAUAGUUUGCACUAGAGUUGACUCUGUGUUCUACAGUUCCAUGGGUUUUGACAAACGCGUCAUGACAUAUGUCUACCAUUGCAUUAGCACUGAAUAGUCUCCCUGCCCUAAAAAUCUCUUGUGCUCCACCCAUUCACCCAUCCCUCCCUGAUAUCAAACUCCUGGCCACCAUUGAUCUCAUUACUGUCUUUUCCCAGAAUGCCACAUAGCUGGAAUUCAUAUGGCAUGUGACCUUGUUCCAUUGGGUUCUUUCACUUGGCAACAUUCAUUUAAGGUUCCUCCACGUCUUUCGUGUGACUUGAUAGCUCAUUUCUUCCCUCACUGGAUAAAAUUCCAUUGUCUGGAUCCAUUUGCCUACUGAGGGACAACUUGGCUGCUUUCGAGUUUUGGCAAUUAUGAGUGUCUGUAACUGUUCAUGGGUAGGUUUUCUAAGGGACGUGCGUUUUCAACUCAUUUGCAAAAAUAUCUAGGAGCAUUAUGGCUGAAUUGUAUGGUCAGCGUAUAUUUGCCUUUGUGAGAAACUGCCAAACUGUCUUCCAAAAUGACUGUCCUGUCUUACUUUUUUGACUUUCUCUACUUUAUUUGUAUGUCUCCUCAGCAGUUACGGAGUGCCCGGUUUUUUUUUACAGCCUCCGUAACCAAGCAGGUUGCCAAGCUAGGAGUUUUGCCAGUCUAAAAGGUGAGAAAUUGUAUUCCAGGGUAGUUUUAAUUUACUUUACUUAUUUUAGGAGUGAGUUUGGUGUGUUUUUAUAUAUUUAAGAGUCGCUCGGUUUUCUAUUUCUGUGAACUGGCAAUUGACAUCUCAUGCCCAUAUUUCAUUCGGGUUCUCGGUCUUUUUGGUCUCUAUUUCAACACGGCCAGAUAUACUAAGGAUGUAAAUCUUUCAUCAGUGGUAUCAAUCGCAAAUAUUUCCUCAAGUUUGACAUUUGCCUCUUUACUUUACUCUCAGUGUUUUUCUUUCACGUUGUGAAGGUUUUCUUUAGCAUAGACAAUUUUACAAUUCUUUCCCUUAUAUAUGUACUAAUUUUGAGUCACAGAAAAUUUUCUCCUUCCGAGAUUAUGGAAGAAUUUCUCCACUUCUUUUUAAAAUCUCUGAUCCAUUUGGAAUGUAUCGUGCUGUAAAGUGUGAAAACAGAUCGAAUUUUAGCGUAUUCCAUAUGGUGAUCCAUGAUCCUAACGUCAUUUAUUACAAAGUCUACUUUUGCCCACUGAUUUUUGAGAUGUCACUUUUAUAUAUGCCAAAUUCCCAUUUGGACUCAUUCUGCAUUUUAUAUUUUAUUCUAUUCAUCUGUUAAUUUAUGCAUGCACCAAAAACGCUGUUUCCUUUACAGAUAAUUUAUAAUAUUUCAGUGUGUGGUAAAAACAUGUUCCCUUUGCAGAAGAAAAAAAAUUUUUUUCAACUUUUGAGAUACAAUUUAUGUGCAAUAAAAUUCACCCGCUUAAACUGACAAUGCACUGCAUUUUGACAAAAAUAUCAAACUGUGAAAACCACUGCUACAAUCAUGAUGCCACUAAUUUCCAACACAAGCAGUUUCUUGUUGUACCUUUGCAGUCAAUUCUUCCCUCCGUCCCUGGGAAACUGGUGAUCAGCUUUUUUGUCAAUGUAGACAGUUUGCAUUUUUAAAAAUAAUUUAAUGUAUAUGGAAACAUGCUGUAUGUACACUCAUAUCUCAUUUCUCUUACUCAGCAUAAUUGUUUUAAGAUGCAUGAUGUGUGUCAGUCGUUUGUUUUUUUAUUUUAAGUAGAAUUUCAUAUUAUGCAUAAGCUAUAUUUUCUUUGUUCACCUGUUGACGGUGGACAUUUGUGUUACUUCUAGUCUCCUUGGUUCCUCAAAGUAACACUGCUGUGGAUGUUUCUAUGCAUUUGUAUGGACAUACACUUUCACUUUUGUUAGAUAAAGAUUUAGGAGUAAAAGUAAUUUCUUAGAUAAAUGCUCAGAAAUUGGUGUAUGUUGAAGUUUUUAAGAAACCGCGAAGAAUAUUCCAAAGAAACGGUACCAUUUGACAUUCCGACAGAGCCUCGCUGUUCCAUAGCUUCAUCAACACUUGGUGUCGGCAGUCUUUGUUUUUGUUUUUAGUUUGUUUUUAUUUAUUUGGAGGGAGACAGCUGGAGAGCAAGCGGGGAAGGGGCAGAGAGAGAGGGAGACAGAAUCCCAAGCAGGCUCUGCGCUCUCAGCACAGAGCCCGAUGCGGGGCUUGAACCCACAAACCAAGAGAUCAUGACUUGAGCCGAAAUUGAGUCGGACGCCUGACUGACUGAACUACCCAGGUGCCCCUUGGCAGUCUUUUUAAUUUGGACUUUCAUAAUGGAUAUGUAUUGCUAUCUUUUGGUGAUGCAUCUACUUUGGUGAAGAGUCUGUCCAAAUUUUGCUUGUUUAAAAGUUGUGUUUCUACUCUCAAAAUAAACAAACCUUUUUUAAAAAAAUUAAAAAAGUAAAAGUUGUGUUUCUUUUUAAUAUUAUUGAGCUUUAUGUGUUCUUUGUAUAUUCUGGGUAGAAGUUCUUCAUCGCCUACAUGGAUUACAAACAUUUUUCCACCAUUCUGGGUCUUGUUUUUAUUUCCUUAAAGAAACACGAGUAGUUUUUAUUUCAAAAUAGUCACAUAUACUGUUUUUAAUGAUUUUUGUGUUAGGAGAUCUUUGCCUACCUCAAAGUUGCAAAAAGUUCCCCUUCCUUUUACUCUUUUACCUUUGACAUGUAAUGUCAAAGAAAAUAACCAUACCAAACUGAAUACACCCUUAUUCUUACAUCACACAACUCAGCGUUUCCUGAAAAUUGACCAUGUUGUGUGAUGUGAGGGUAAAGGUCACUUUCCUUCCCCUACAGAGUGUCAGUGUGAUUUGUUGUGAAGAGUUCUCAUUCCCUAUUGUCAAGUAUCAAUUGGCUACAAACAUGUGUCUUUUUCUAAACUGUUUAUUCUGUUCUAUUUACUUGACUGUUUUUUCAGCAAAACCACAACAGUCUUGAAAUCAGGUAGUGUAAAUUUUACAUCUUGGUUUUUAUUUAUCAGUUUGUUUAUUUAUUUUGAGUGACAGAGAGAGAGAGAGAGAGAGAGAGGGAGGGAGGGGAAGAGAGAGACAGGGAGGGAGGGAGGGGAGGAGAGAGAGAGGGAGAGACAGAGAAUCCGAUGCAGGCUCUGUGUUAUCAGCCCAGAGCCAGACACGGGGCUCUAUCCCACAAACUGUGAGAUCAUGACCUGAGCCAAAAUCAAGAGUCAGAUGCUCAACCGACUGAGCCACUCAGGUGCCCUGAUCAUCCUUUUAAAAAUACAACUCUUUUAGCUGGUUUGAGUGCCUAUAUAAAUUUUAGAACUAGCUUGUCAACGUUUGAACUUUUUUUUUUUCAGAGAAAGGUAAAUCUAGUAGAGUUUGAUUAAGAGUAGAUUGACUAUUUAGACCAUGUUGGAGGAAAACCCUGAGCUUUUUAAUUAAGGAAAAUAAUAUAUCUCUGCAUUCAGUUGGUUCCUUUUUAAUAUUCCCUCAGCAACAUUUUACAGUUUUCAGUGUAAAUGAUUUACAUGUCUUUUUAAUUUUUCUAAAUAUUUUACUUUUUUUAACUUCAAUUUAUUUAUACUAACAAAACACAACAAAAACAGUUCACCAAUUUCUUUCACCCCUACUCCCCAUGUUUGGGAACUAUCAAUUUUUUUUUCUUUAUCUAUGAGCGUAGGUUUUAGACUCACAUAUAAGAGAAAUCAUAUGUUAGUUGUCUUUCUCUGACUUAUUUCACUGGGCAUAAAACCCUUGAGAUCUACACAUAUUUUCACAAAAGGUUUAUGGCUGUGUAAUAUUCCUAUGUGUAGCCUUUCAUGAAGAUCACGUCAAAGCAAAGAAGGAAGCCCCUGCCCCUCCCAAAGCUGACGUCAAAGUAAAGGCUUUGAAGGCCAGGGAAAUGGUGCUGAGAGGCAUUCACAGCCACAAAAAAAAAAAAAUUAGAUCUGCACAUCACCUACAUUCUCAUGGCCCAAGACACUGCAUCUCUAAAGCCAGCCCAAAUACUCUCAAUAGAGUGCCCCCAGGAGAAAGAAGUUUAACCACUAUGCCUUCACCAAGUUGCCGCUGACUACUGAGUCAGCCUCGAAGAAGACAGAAGAUGACAACACACUUGUGUUCGUUACGGAUGUGAAGGCCAACAGGCACCAGAUCAAACAGGCUGUGAAGAAGCUCUAUGACAUUGAUGUGACCAAGGUCAACAGCCGGGUCAGGUCCGAUGGAGAGAAGAAUGUAUAUGUUUGGCUGGCUCCUGACUAUAAUGCUUUGGAUGUUGCCACCAAAAUUGGGAUUAUCUAAACUGAGUUCAGUUCAUUCAAAAUUGGGAUGAUCUAAACUGGCUACAUCUAAAUAUAAAUUUAUCACCAUAAAAAAUAUUCCGUUGUGUGCAUAUGUGUGUUUCUAUAUGUAUAAAUUAUAGGUUAUAGUAUACAUAUUAUAAUACACACAUGUAUAUACACCCAUCCAAAUACUCAAAUAUAUAAACACACACAUAUACAAAUAUAUAAACACACACACAUACAUAUGCACACAUGCAUAUCUCCAUAUAUACACAAACGUAAAUGUACAAAUUCUCAAACAUAUAUGCCACAUUUUCUGUAUUCAUCCAUCAACGGACACUAGGUUGUUUCCAUAUUUUGGCUAUUGUAAAUAAUGCCGCAGUGAAUAUGAGAGUGCAGAUAUCUUUUCAAAUCAGUGUCUUCAUUUUCUUUGAAUAAAUAUCCAGUAGUGGAAUUGCUGGAUCAGAUGGCAGUUCUGUCUCUGGUUCUUUGAGGCAACGCUAUGCUGUUUUCCAUAGUGGAUGCACCAAUUGACAUUCCCAGAAACAGUGCGUGAGGGUUCCUUUCUCUCCACAUCCUUGCCAACACUUGUCAUGUCUAGCCUUUUGGAUAAUAGCUGUUCUAACAGAUGUGAGGUGAGAUCACAUUGUAAAUUUGAUUUGCAUUUCCAUGAUUAUUAAUGAAGUGGAGCAUCUUUUCAUGUGCCUAUUGGCCAUCUGUAUGCCUUCUUUAGAAAAAUGUCUAUUCAGUUCUUCUGCCCAUUUUCUUCAUUGAAUUUUUUUUUUUUUUUUUUGCUGUUCAAAUACGAGGUUUUUAUAUAUUUUGGAUAUUAGCCCCUUAUCAGAUAUAUGAUUUGCUAAUAUUCUCUUUUUCAGUAGGUUGCCUUUUCAUUUCAUUGAUGGUUCUCUUUGCUGUGCCGAGUCUUUUCAGUUUGAUGUAGUUCCUUUGUCUAUUUUUGCUUUUCUUGCUUUCGCUUUUGGUGUCAGAUUAAAAAAUCAGCACCGAGACCAAUGUCAGUAAACUUAAUGCCUAUGUGUUCUUCUAGGAGUUUUAUGCUUUCAGGUCUUACAUUCAAGCCUUUAAUCUAUUUUGAGUUACUUUUUGUGUAUGAUGUAAUUUAAUGACGUACUUUUAUUUUUUUGCAUGUGAUUAUCCAAUUUUCCCAACACCAUUCAUUGAAGGAAAUGUCCAUUCCCCAUUUUAUUUCUUAGCUCCUUUGUCAUAAAUUAAUUGGCCAUACAUGGGUGGGUUUAUUUCUGGACUUUCUAUUCCGUUCAUUAGUCUAUGUGUCUGUUUUUAUGCCAAUAGCAUACUGUUUCAAUUACUAUAGCUUCGUAAUAGAAUUUGAAAUCAAAGAUUGGGAUGCAUUCACUGUGCUUUUCUUUCUCAAGAAUUUUUUUGCCUCUUUAGGGUCUCUUAUGGUUCCACACAAAUUUUAGGAUUUUUUUGUCCUAUUUCUGUAAAAAAUGCCGUUGGAAUUUUGACAAGGAUUGCAUGGAAUUUGUAUAUUGCUUUAGCUAGUAUGAACAUUUUAACAAAUUUAAUUCUUCCAAACUAUGAGCAUGGAAUGAUUCUUCAUUUGUUUGUGUAUCUUUCAAUUUCUUUCGUUAAUGUCUUGUAGUUUUAACACAUGCGUCUUCUACUUGGUUACAUUAAUUCCUAAGUAUUUCAUUUUAUUUUUUGAUACAAUUGCAAAAGGGAUUGUUUUCUUAAUUACUCUUUCUGAUAAUUUAUCAUUAGUGUAUAGAAAUGCAGUAGAUUUUUUGUGCAUUGAUUUUUUUAUCCCGCAACUUUACUAAAUUUGUUUAUUAGUUCUUGCAGUUUUUUUGAUGGGGUCUUUAGGGUUUUCCCUAAUAUAAUGCAAGAUAAUCUGAAAAUAAUGAGUUUUAUUUCUUCCUUUUUAAUUUGGAGUCUUUUAUUUCUUUUUCUUGUCCAAUUGCUGCAGCUAGGACUUCUAACACUAUGUUGAAUAAAAGUAGUGACAAUGGAUAUCCUUGUCUUUUUCUAACAUAAGAUGAAAACUUUUCAGCUUUUCACCAUUGAGUAUGAUUUUAGGUCUGGGCUUUUUAUAUAUGCCUUUUAUGUAUUUAUUUUAAUUUAUUUAUUUUUAAAAUGUUUAUUUAUUUUGAGAGAAACAGAGAAUACAAGUGGAGGAGGGGCAGAGAGAGAGAAUCCCAAGCAGGUUCCAUGCUGUCAGAGUAGAGCCUGAUGGGGGGCUAGAUCUCAUGAACCAUGAAAUCAUGAACUGAGCCGAAAUCAAGACUCAGAUGCUUAACCCACUGAGCCAUCCAGGCACCCCUCAUAUAUGGCUUUUAUUAUGUUGACAUAUGUCCUCUCUGUACCCAAUUUGUUCAGAGUUAUCAUAGAUGGAUGCUGAUUUUUUUUCAAAUGCUUUUUCUUCAUCUAUUGAUAUGAUCAUGUGAUUUUUAUCCUUCAUUUUGUUAAUGUGGCAUAUCACAUUAACCGAUUUGUGGAUGUUGAACCAUCCCUGAAUCCCUGUAAUAAAUUUCAUUCGCUCAUGAUAUAUGAUUCUUUUAAUGUUUUGUUGAAUUCGGUUUGCUAAUAUUUUGUUGAACAUUUUUAUAUCUUUCUUCAUCAGGGAUAUCGCCUUAUAAUUUUCCUUUUCUGUGGCAUCAUUGUCUACCUUUGGUAUCAGGGUAAUGCUAGACUUGUAAAGGGCAUUUGGAAGUAUUACCCUCUCUUGUUUUUUAAUGAAUUUGAGAAGGUUUGGUAUUAAUUCCUCUUUGAAUGUUUGGUAGAAUUCACCAGUGAUAAUUUGCGGUCAUGGCCUUUUACUUGGGAGGUUUUUGAUUGCUGAUUCAACCUCCUUAUUAGUAAUUGGUUUAUUCAGAUAUUCUUUUUCAUCCUAAUUUAGUCUUGCUAGGUUGUAUUUUUUUAGGAAUUUAUCCAUUUCUUUUAGGUUAUCUAAUAUGUUAGUGUAUAAUUGUUCACACCAGUCUUUUAAAAUCCUUUGUAUUCCUGUGGUAUCAGUUGUAACCUCUCCUCUUUCAUUUCUGAUUUUAUUCAUUUGAGUGCUGUCCUUCCCCCUCCCCCCUGCCUUGGUGAGUCUAGGUAAAUAUUUGUCAACGUUGUUUGUCUCUUCAGAGAACCAGCUCCUAGUUUUAUUAGUCUUUUCUAUUGCCUUUUUAGUCUCUAUUUCAUUUUUUCUGCUCUAAUCUUUGUUACUUUAUUCCUCCUACUAACUUUGUGCUUCCCUCGUUCUUUUUCUAGUUCCUUUACAUAAAGUUAGAGACUUCUGUUAUUUCUUGAGGUAGACAUUUGUUGCUAUGAACUUCAUUCUUAGAACUACUUUUGCUACAUCCCAUAAAUUUUGGUAUGUUACAUUUCCAUUUUCAUUUGUCUCCAGGUAUUUUCUGAUUUCUCUUUGGGUUUCUUUUUUGACUCAUUGAUUGUUCAGGAGCCUGUUGUUUAAUCCCCACUAUCCAUGAAUUUUCAUUUUGUAUUUUAUUAUGCUACUGUAAGUGGUUUAUUUCAGUUUCUAAUUGGUUUUAGUGUGCAAAAAUACAUUUGAUUUUUGUGUAUUUACCAUGAAUCUGAUGGAUUUCUCAAUGUAUAUUUUUAGUUCUUUUUUUUUUUAAAGUUUAUUUAUUUAUUUUGAGAGAGAGAGAGAGGGCAUGAUAUGAGUGGGGUAGCAACACAGAGAGAGAGGAAGAGAAUCCUAAGCAAGUCUGUGCUGUCCGCGUAGAAUCUGACACAGGGCUAAAACUCUUGUGUUGUGAGAUCAUGACCUGAGCCAAAAUCAAGAGUCGGACACUCAACUAACUGAGCCACCCAGGUGUCCCCUUGAUUUUAGUUCUAAUCGUUGUUUUGUAAAUUUCCUAGCAUUUUUUUAAAAUGUAAACAGUCAUGCCAUCUUUACAUAGAGAGAGUUUUGGUUCUCCCUUUGUGGUCUUUGUACUUUUUAUUUCUUCCUUUUACCUUUUACAGUAGUUAGGACCUUUAAUAUAAAGCUUAAUAAAAAUGGUCAGUGUGGGAAUGCUUAUUUUAUUCUCCCCACUACAUUAAAACAUUAAAUAUUUCAUCUUUAAACAUGACAUUAUUAUAAGUUGUUUGUAGAUGAUGUUUACCAGAUUGAGGAAUAUGCUUUAUAUUAUAAUUUUAUAAACUUUCUACUUUUAAAACACUUUUUAAAUUUUAUUAUUAUUUUUUUAAUGUUUAUUUGUUUUUGAGAGAGAGAGAGAGAGAGAGAGAGAGAGAGACGGAGCACAAGAGCGGGGAGGGGCACACAGAGAGGGAGACACAGAAUCCGAAGCAGGCUCCAGGCUCUGAGCCAUCAGCACAGAGCCCGAUGCGGGGCUCGAACUCACAAACCGUGAGAUCAUGACCUGAGCCGAAGGCAGAUGCUUAACCGACAGAGCCACCCAGGUGCCCCUGAACUUUUUUAUUGUUAAUUUGCGUUGAGUUCUGUGAAAUGCUUUUUCUAUAUAUAUCAAGAGUAUGUUUUUUUCUCUUAUAUUCUAUAAAUAUGGUAAGUUAUGACAGUAAUUGGAGGCUCAAAUGUUUUAUUCUAAUAGACCAGCUUUAUUAUACCUACAGGAUACUGGACAGUGGAAGUAGAAGAUACGUGUUGGUAGGGGUCCAGGAAUUUCGGGCACAGGCUGUUUGUCCUCACACUCCUGUGUUGCACCAAAGCACUUUGCUCGAGGGCUUGCACCACUGCUGGCUUAUGUAAAGCACUUCUAUAACAGGAAGCCCCAAAGUCUGCUCAUGGUCACAUAUAUUUGAGCUAUGUGUCCAGCUUUAAUAUUUGAACUCCUACAUUCCACCCCCCUACCCCCCGCCCUGCCCCGCAACUCAGCUAAGCUCCACUGAAACCUGGUCCAAUUUAUAAAUCUAAUUAUUAAUAAACAAUGUUGUCAAGCUGAGAAAGUCUUCUCUGAAACACCUCGUGUACAGAUAGUUACAGAACAUCCUUGAUCUUUAAUUAAUAGAUUCUGUAGCACUGGAUUAGAAUCAGCAGCUCUAGAGAUAAAUCUGUGGUCAAUCCAGACUAACUGAAAUUACCCAGUGCUAUGUUGUUACGUUAAUUAAUUCUUGAUUGUGAAAACAAUCUGGCAUACCUGGAUAAAUCCUAUUUUUAUCCAUCUUAUAUGUAAUUUUGGAUUCAGUUGGUAAUAGUUUGUUACAAUUUUUUUUAUGUGUGAUCAUGAGUGAUUUUAUUCAUUUUGAUAAUGCACUUGCCAGAUUUUAGCAUUAGAGAUAUGCUGUCCUUAUAAAAAAAUUGGAAAGUCUUCCCUUUUCAUUUGUUUUCUGAAAGCUUUCAUGUAAUUAAUACUGGUCAUAUCUACCUUGAUUGUUUGAUAGAAUUCACCAUGAAAACAUAUGAGCCAGAAGUUUUCUUGGUAGGAAAGUUUUGAUAGCAAGUUUAUUUUAUCAAAUAACUUGUCAACUUUUCAGUUUCAUCUUGUGUCAUUUUCCUUAUUGUAUCUUUCAAUUAAUUUGUCCAUUUCAUGUAAAUUAUAAAGUUUGUAUGGGUGAUAUGGUCAUUAUAUUAUUUUAUUAUACCUCUAAUGUCAGCUGGUUCUGUAGUAAUAACUUUUCCUUCACUCUUAAUAUUGGUCAUUGUUUUCUUUUUUUUCCUUGCUCAAUCUACUUGAUGGUUUGUCAGUUUAUUUACCCUUCGAAGAACUAAUUUUUGCUUUUGUUAACUUAUCAACACUAGGGAUUCUUUAUGCUAUAGACUUCACGUAACGUCCAUCAACAGAAUAACAUACCCCCAUGAUAAUAAUAAAUAUAUAAAUAUAUAUAUAUU
rnacentral:lncRNA from 1 species